rnacentral:rRNA from 1 species
AGAGUUUGAUCAUGGCUCAGAUUGAACGCUGGCGGCAUGCCUUACACAUGCAAGUCGAACGGCAGCGCGGGGCAACCUGGCGGCGAGUGGCGAACGGGUGAGUAAUAUAUCGGAACGUACCCUGGAGUGGGGGAUAACGUAGCGAAAGUUACGCUAAUACCGCAUACGAUCUAAGGAUGAAAGUGGGGGAUUCGCAAGGACCUCAUGCUCCUGGAGCGGCCGAUAUCUGAUUAGCUAGUUGGUAGGGUAAAAGCCUACCAAGGCAUCGAUCAGUAGCUGGUCUGAGAGGACGACCAGCCACACUGGAACUGAGACACGGUCCAGACUCCUACGGGAGGCAGCAGUGGGGAAUUUUGGACAAUGGGCGCAAGCCUGAUCCAGCAAUGCCGCGUGAGUGAAGAAGGCCUUCGGGUUGUAAAGCUCUUUUGUCAGGGAAGAAACGGGUUUUUCUAAUACAGAGAUCUAAUGACGGUACCUGAAGAAUAAGCACCGGCUAACUACGUGCCAGCAGCCGCGGUAAUACGUAGGGUGCAAGCGUUAAUCGGAAUUACUGGGCGUAAAGCGUGCGCAGGCGGUUUUGUAAGACUGACGUGAAAUCCCCGGGCUCAACCUGGGAAUGGCGUUGGUGACUGCAAGGCUAGAGUUUGGCAGAGGGGGGUAGAAUUCCACGUGUAGCAGUGAAAUGCGUAGAUAUGUGGAGGAACACCGAUGGCGAAGGCAGCCCCCUGGGUCAAAACUGACGCUCAUGCACGAAAGCGUGGGGAGCAAACAGGAUUAGAUACCCUGGUAGUCCACGCCCUAAACGAUGUCUACUAGUUGUCGGGUUUUAAUUAACUUGGUAACGCAGCUAACGCGUGAAGUAGACCGCCUGGGGAGUACGGUCGCAAGAUUAAAACUCAAAGGAAUUGACGGGGACCCGCACAAGCGGUGGAUGAUGUGGAUUAAUUCGAUGCAACGCGAAAAACCUUACCUACCCUUGACAUGGCAGAAAUCCCGGAGAGAUUUGGGAGUGCUCGAAAGAGAAUCUGCACACAGGUGCUGCAUGGCUGUCGUCAGCUCGUGUCGUGAGAUGUUGGGUUAAGUCCCGCAACGAGCGCAACCCUUGUCAUUAGUUGCUACGAAAGAGCACUCUAAUGAGACUGCCGGUGACAAACCGGAGGAAGGUGGGGAUGACGUCAGGUCCUCAUGGCCCUUACGCGCUGGGCUACACACGUGCUACAAUGGCAACUACAGUGGGCAGCGACCCUGCGAGGGCGAGCUAAUCCCCAAAAGUUGUCUCAGUUCGGAUUGUUCUCUGCAACUCGAGAGCAUGAAGGCGGAAUCGCUAGUAAUCGCGGAUCAGCAUGCCGCGGUGAAUACGUUCCCAGGCCUUGUACACACCGCCCGUCACACCAUGGGAGUUGGAUUCACCCGAAGGCGUUGCGCCAACCCGUAAGGGAAGCAGGCGACCACGGUGGGUUCAGCGACUGGGGUGAAGUCGUAACAAGGUAACCGUA